CCAGCUCCUGGCCAAGACGGAGUUCACCCUGUACUCUCUGGUGGUGCAGCAGCUGUCAAAACAGGACCACUCUGACUACGCUGGCAAGAACAGACUAGUCUGCACAAGGAUGUGACGCCAUGCCCCUGACCUCUGACCCCAGACCAGAUCCUGCUGAUGUCAAUGAAGGACAUGAACAACACCAAGGUGUCCUCUGUCGACCUGUCGCUGUUCAACAACAUCAUCCAGGACCUCAUCCUCGCGAUGGAGACCCCAACCAUCGACUACAGAAAGCUGAUAGAGCCGAUCGAGGCGGAGCUGCGUCAGGCACGUCACCCUGAUUAAGGUCAUCCAGCUGUACGAGACCAAGAACUGAGACGCCACAGUGGUUGUGGGUAAGACGGGCAGUGGCAAGACGGUCACCUGGGGGAGCCUGCAGAGCACCUCAAGGGAGAGCCCGGCGGGCUGGCUGACUGAUUUUCGACUUCUCUGGCCCUCCAUCCGUAGGACCAUAACGUAAAGAAUUAUCUCCCUCUCCGUCAAACCAUUCCCAAUCUUGUGUUUCUAUCUCACAACAAGCGUCUCUCCCAGAGGAGCCCUUCCAACAAAUGAUCCAUUCUAAAACACAUUAUUAGUAUUUUCUGUUGUAGAAUAUCUAUCACCUAUCCCACCGCCCGUUAACAUCAUCUACAUCUCCUACAUCUCCUCCCCCUCUCACCACCUCCCUCCAUCCCCACGUCUCAUUGGUGUAUUAUAAACGGGGUAGUUCGAGCCCUGAAUGCUGAUUGGC